UAGGGAAUCUUGGACAAUGGGCGAAAGCCUGAUCCAGCCAUGCCGCGUGAGUGAUGAAGGCCUUAGGGUUGUAAAGCUCUUUCGCCAAGGAAGAUAAUGACGGUACCUGGAUAAGAAGCCCCGGCUAACUUCGUGCCAGCAGCCGCGGUAAUACGAAGGGGGCUAGCGUUGUUCGGAAUUACUGGGCGUAAAGCGCACGUAGGCGGCUUUCCAAGUUGGAGGUGAAAUCCCCGGGCUUAACCCGGGAACUGCCUCCAAAACUGAAAGGCUAGAGUCCGAGAGAGGUGAGUGGAAUUUCCAGUGUAGAGGUGAAAUUCGUAGAUAUUGGAAAGAACACCAGUGGCGAAGGCGGCUCACUGGCUCGGUACUGACGCUGAGGUGCGACAGCGUGGGGAGCAAACA
rnacentral:rRNA from 1 species